GACAGAGCUGCCUUUGGGAAGUUCAGUCCUGACAGGACUUAUGAAAUCAGCUCUGAACUGAUCCAAACUUUGCAGAACCCACAGCUAGAUCUCACAAACUUUCUCACCAAGACUGGCUACUAUGGGCAUAUACAGGUGGUUCAAGAUAUAGAAGACUACCAAGAACCCUCAGCUCAACAAAUGUUCAACAUAGUGCAGACCUACAGUGGAUCACAGCUAGAGCAGAGCUAAACAAUGACUUACAGUUCUUCUCAGAAGCUUUAAACCAGCGACUAAAUAUCAACAUAGUGCCCUUCAGCGAUGGCCUGCAAGUUCACAGCAUUGUCAACAUAAGCCCUCACAACAGUGGACCUGUGGCUAACUACAGUGAAGUGCAACAUAAAUACAGGAGGCCUAAAGUCAACAAGAGACAAAGAGCUUUGAGGCAAAGUUACUGGGUGUCCGGGUGGAAGCAGCCUUAUAAAGGCUUUGAUGAAGAAGCCAAGAAAAGGAAUGGAGGUGGUGGUGUCAGCUUUGUCAAGAUUCUCCUCAGUAUCGGCGCGCUCUACUUGGCAGCCAAAUGUUUCAGCUGGCUGAGGAGCUGGUGGAAGGUGGACCUGAAUGAGAACAUCCUCAAAGGGAGGAUUCCAAGUUAUCAACAUACACAUAUCAUGCUGGAUUAUGUGUAUUAGGAUGUUGAGGAUAAGACUCUGGUAAUAUCAAGUAUUGCAUUUCUGAUAUUCUUAACAAUCUCAUAGUAGGGUACAUGCCAAAAUAGAGAUUCACAUCAAAGAUGAACUGUCAAAAUCGUAUAUUCAGCCUGUAUACUAUUUGAUACUAUUCCCCAUACUGGGAAAAAGAAAAAAAACAUUUUAACAAUCUUACACAGAUCUUAAGCUUAAAAACAGAGAAUUGAAAUAUAUGACUUCUUUUUGUCCAUUUUAAAACAGAAAGAUGUACAUACAGUGAUUGUCAAAUCUAAAAUGAAUCACUGUGAAGACUGAAAUACUGAUAUUUCAAAAUGAAAAAAAGCAAGUAAGCUGAAGGCCCUGGCUCCACCCAGUAAACGAAAUCAUGCAAUCCAAGAGAAACAACACCAAGUCUGCAUUGUCUUACUGGCAAAGAUUUUGUCUUUCUGAGGCAGCCAGUACUUUCAAAUCUUUGACUGUAUUAGGCCACUGUGGGCUGUGAUGCUCAUCCAUGAGCAGCCCACUUUAAUGACAAUAUUUGAUUUUUUAUAAAACAUUAGACGCUCUCCUCUUGAUAUUUUAUCUGUGAUAUUUACCGUAUCAGAAUACAUAGUAAUACAAAAUUAUGUAUAAUACAUUUUCAAGUUUACCUGACUGCUUUAAAUAAACUUAAUAAUAUAUUUUUGCACAGAAUGAAGAGAGUGGAUUUUGUCCUCAAUCACUCACAGUGGACAUGCAUUAGAAAGGGAUCUCUGAGUGGCCAGUAUCAACAGGAGCUACUCUCAGCCUCAGUCAUGAGACACUGAUCUUGUUACUGCCACUCAUGUAGACUGUUGCUCUGGCUGUUGUUGGUGGAACAUGGUUGGAUUGCUCUGUAGAACAGAAGAGGUCGCUGUGUUAGAGCUAAAGCUUCCAGGGUUUCUGGCAACAGCAGAUGGCAGCAUUGAUUAAGAGGCAAAUCACUGUCAGCAUGUUUUGUCCUCUUAGGGUAAUAACUCAGUUCAUACAGGAGUGAGACACAGACCAGGGUGCUCCUCUUGUUCGACUGCAAGCUGUUGUAGGUUUUGCUAGCUAGCUAUGCUGUCGUCCCACAAAUGUAUCCUCCCUGGAUGCCAGGAGUGUGCCGAACAGCUCUCCUCUAAGAGGUGGAUUAAGAAACCAUUUCACUCCAGCUAGUUUUAUAAAUUUUCAUCAGGGACAACAGGGAUUCACAGUAAUCAGCUGGUGAAUGAUGCCAAACUGAACCCCCCUGGGUAAUUGCACAUUUUUCUGUGGUGUGACAAACACCAGGCUUUACACAGACUUUAAUGGUUGCACGGUAGAUUACAAUAAACAUUGGUUGGUUUGCCUAGAUAUGAUAAUAUUCUGAUUUUAGGUGAGUUUGAUAUAUGUUUGUAGAUUUUUAAAAUUCAUCUGAAGCUAUUUGUGAUAAGGGCCACACCCUAGAUCUUAUCCACUAGUUGUUUACUAAGUGACGUCUUGCGUAGAAAUAAUUUUAGAACUGUAACAUUAUCAUUAACAGUUCAUAAUGAUAUUCUUUUAGCUGGCUAGAUUACUGUAGUUCAGUGUCUUAGCCAAUACAACCUCUUCACUUCUACUGGUCCAGAAUGCUUCAGCAAGACUGUUCACUUACAAACAACAACAAAAGAAUCCACAUAAUGUCAACACUGGCCACUUGUACAUUUUAGUCUUUUAGUCUUCAAAAGGUCCACACAGGUUUUUUGGAGUAGUGGUGUACUGGGCGCCAAUGUUUACCUAGAGUUUAGAUGUGCUAAUGGCUCCUGGGAUAAUACAGUAACCCCUCAGAUUUUUAAUAAACCGAAUCCUCUGUUUAACUUUGACUGCCUCAGUUGGGGGUAUUUAUACAUACAGUAGCCUACUUCAUUGAAAUAGUUUAGCUUAAGUAACCUUCACUGACUUGCACAUGACUCUUUUUUUAAAUCAAAUCUACAAAUAAAACAACCCUACUGUGCUCUCAUUGUGAUUACUCUUUGCUUUGAUGAUCCUUCAUGCCUGCACACAUACCACACAAAUGAUUCAACACACGUUCUCUGGUGCCUGUCAUUUUACAGAUUACAUUUUGUCAGGUUAAGAACUUGGCAGUAAAUUCUUAACUUUUUUGGUUUUAUCAAAUCAUAACCCUCCCUCAUCUUAAUGCUGCUCCACAAAGUAGCACUGUGUUGUUUGGCUUCUGCAAAAAGAAAAGCAAAAUCUUUUAUCAUGGAAUUCCUUUUGCUAUAAUUUCAAAACAAAGCACCAGAAGGCACAGCAAGUCAUAUUUCCUGCUGAAGAACACAGAAACAGCAGCUAAACACACACUGGUGAUGGCAGCAUGACACUAAAAACAGUGUAUGGGAACAAUGCUCAUUGAGUGUCACUGGGGGGUUGGGGAGAAGGCACUUGACUAACUGGUAUCCUGCUAGACAGGAGGAUUUCUCUGCAGGUCACCUAUCAGUAGAACUGCUGAAGCUUUUUGGAUGAGAGGAUAAACUUUUGAACUCCGUAGGGAACAGAUCAUUUAAUAAUUUAAUUGUGAUCUUCAGUGAGUGGCUGAGUUAUGACCAUGGGUGUAACUUCCUGUUACUGGACUGCUGCUGCCUUUCCUGCCCCUUCCAGUGUGUUUUAAGUGUGUGCAUUUUCUCUUAGCUUUCCAGUUGGAGCAGCUGCAUUCUACGGAAUAUUAAUAUAAAUGCCUUCAUGAAAACAAAUCUGUGCAAAAAGACACUUCUAACAGACAAAUCCUUCUGUUAAAUCAUUAUUUCUGAUACAUUAAAUAUGACACUUAGUCUGUACAUGUGCUUUUGAUGGGCUGUUACAUCAUUUUCUUUCAGCCCCAGCCCGGCUCCUCCAGUCUGCAUGCCGAAGUAUCCUUGGGCAAGAUACUGAACCCCAAAUUGCCUCCGAUGUGUGUGUUUCACAUCGGUGUGUGAAUGUGUGUGAAUGUGUUUAGAAAGCACAUUAAAUAUAGAAUAUGUGCUGUGUGAAUGUGUGUGAAUGGGGUGAAUGUGAUCUGUAGUGUAAAGCGCUUUGAGUGGUCGAAAAGACUAGAAAAGCGCUAUAUAAGUACAGUCCAUUUACAUUUACAGUACAAAUGAAUACAGUGAAAUUAUUUUUUUCCUGUCUAAUGUCAGUUUUACAUAGUUUUUUAUGCCUCCAUGCUGGGAACAGCAGUGGCCAUGAGCAUUAUGUUUUCAGGCUGACCAAAAAUGUAUUCAGUCACCACAGUUUCAGGGUGGGCACCCAAGAUCAGUGUCACCGAUUCAGUAUCUGACCAAAUGUUAACUACGGCCACAGUCUCCCUCUCUGUUGCUGAGUUAUGGUGUUGACUAAUGAACCAAAAUAGUGUUUUUGCAGAAGAUUACAAUGUCAAAGUGAAGUUAACCUUUGACCUUUUUGAAUAUAAAAUGUCAUCAUUACAUCAUUUCAUCCUGUUAGACAUUUAUAUGAAAUUUCAUAAUAAGAGCAUGAGUUACGACCAGAAAACAUGUUUUGUGAGGUUGACCUUUGACCACUAAAAUCCAACUAAUAUAUCCUUGAGUCCAAAUGAACGUUUAUACCAAAUUAGAUAUUGCCUUCAUGAGAGGGGGAUAGAUGGACAUCCCAAAAACAUAAUGCCACAGCUGUUACAGGAAUGGAGAAAAAAAAUGUCAUUCAAGGGAUAUUGCAUUACAGAAAAUGUAGGACAUUUACUAAAAUAAAGCCCAGCCAUAAUUAUCUAUGAGGCAGCAAUCCGAAUUCAGCCACAGUUUAUGUGCUACAGUUCUUCAACAAGACUAGGCCAACAAAGAAAAACACUUUCACUUUAAUUGAAUAAUAAUUUAAUAAUUCCUUUAAAUUACUGAAACUUUUUUAAGCUUGUUUUGGGUGUGAAAGAUCUAGGGCAAAAUGGCAACUACCUGCUUUGCUGACUGCCACACAAUCCUUUCUAAUGCAACCAGCAGGGGUUGCCAAAGUCAAAGCUUUUAAAAACCUGCCCCUGUAAACUUUGUACUACUGGAUGUCUAUGUGCAGCAGCUCCAGUGUUCACCUUUUGUCAUAAUUUUUGGAUUAAGAUUUAAAGUUGAUCAAAAUAAAACAGAGCAAUAUGCCUUUAAUAGACUGUAAGAACGGGUUUACAGAGAAUCCUGAGUGAAAAAACUAGUAGACAAUGCAACCCAUUGUCCACUGUCCUCCUUCCUAUGAAUGAAAGCCAUUUUUUACAGCACAGUAUCAGUUGCACCUGCUGGCUAACUGAUGCUAACUGACAUCUGCACAGGAGAUAGUUGACAGGAACAGAGAGGUCAAAAAGUAUUUUGUGUCAUAAAACAAAGGAAAUGUUAGUUAACAGCACACAAGGGCUCUUUUUUGCAUGUGGCUAUAGUAAAUUGUAAAUAUAGUGUCCAGUGUCCUGUGGCAUAGUUAGAAAAAUGAGGAAGGCUUUUCUUUAGAGAAAAGUACACAGUGGUUCAAACACAAAUACCUGUACACCUGAAAACGGCUGACCUUGAAAUGUGUGGGCCUUGAACUUCUCACAGCAGCCAUUAAUAAUGUGAGACUGUCAUAAAGAAAUGCAUUACAACAAAAGCUAGAUAAAUUUAGACAAAUAAAAAAACAAAAUCAAAAA